CCCUCUAUACCAAUCCAUAAGAUGUCCCACUACCCUUUGUUUUUCCAGUAUAAAUCUGUUCCGAGGCCUCAGGUGAGCAACAAGGAGAUGAGCCUUCUCUACCACUAGUAGUAGUACUACUACAUCUCCGAAGAAUCUACAGAGAUCUUCAUCCCCAACUCGGCGGCAGGCAAGAUCUAACGCACUAUCCAUUUCCUUUCCUCCUCUUAAGGCUGUUGUUCUUCAUGAUGAAGCCUCACUUUUUUACUGGAUGUAGUAAGCUAGGUCGCGGAUGCUCUUGAUCCCUUGUAUUUUCUCACCACUACGUAUGUCUUGGAUGUAAAAUUGAUCGUUUCCAAGAUGGCCAGUGAUGAGGAUUCACUAGAUGAUCAAAACCCUAGAUCUUGGACCGUUAGCAACACUAGUACUAUUAACAAGACGGAAGAAGCAUCCAGCAUGUUCUCGGUCCAGGAUCAUCACCCACAAAGAGCAGUAGUGAACUUUUUAAAGGAUGACAAUACCACCAAAACGAUCCAUGAGCAAUGGCAAGCAAAAGCUAAGGUUGCCUCGUAGCCUAUAAGCCGGUGUUAUCCCGACUGAGCUUUCUAUUAUCCCUAAACUCUCCCAUAUGCCUCUAGUUAAAUCAUUUUCUGGCCACUUCUCAUGCCAGAAUUAAUGUUCUUGACCUUGUAAGGCCUUUUCUUGACCUUGUAAGGCCCUCCCCUUACGUUUCUCGUGCCGCCGGGUGUCUCCAACCUCACACUUUCUCCCCCCUUCUAUCCCUCCUGAGCUAUCUCCAUGCAUAUGUUGUCUAGCAAUCUAGAUGAGACAUGAGAGAUGAUAUUGGAAUAAAAGUCUGUGGUAAAUUAAGUUUUUAUUCCCA